CGCACGGGUGAGUAACACGUAUCCAACCUGCCGUCUACUCUUGGACAGCCUUCUGAAAGGAAGAUUAAUACAAGAUGGCAUCAUGAGUCCACAUGUUCACAUGAUUAAAGGUAUUCCGGUAGACGAUGGGGAUGCGUUCCAUUAGAUAGUAGGCGGGGUAACGGCCCACCUAGUCUUCGAUGGAUAGGGGUUCUGAGAGGAAGGUCCCCCACAUUGGAACUGAGACACGGUCCAA
rnacentral:rRNA from 1 species